GAGAGAGACAGGAUAGCUAUACUAACGUUGGAGAGAGACAGGAUAGCUAUCCUAACGCUGGAGAGAGACAGGAUAGCUGUACUAGCGCUGGAGAGACUUGAUAGCUAUCCUAACGCUGGAGAGAGACAGGAUAGCUGUACUAACGCUGGAGAGACAGGAUAGCUGUACUAGCGCUGGAGAGACAGGAUAGCUGUACUAACGCUGGAGAGACAGGAUAGCUGUACUAACGCUGGAGAGACAGGAUAGCUGUACUAACGCUGGAGAGAGACAGGAUAGCUGUACUAACGCUGGAGAGACAGGAUAGCUAUACUAACGCUGGAGAGAGACAGGAUAGCUGUACUAACGCUGGAGAGACAGGAUAGCUGUACUAACGCUGGAGAGACAGGAUAGCUGUACUAACGCUG